ACGGGUGAGUAAUGUCUGGGAAACUGCCUGAUGGAGGGGGAUAACUACUGGAAACGGUAGCUAAUACCGCAUAAUGUCGCAAGACCAAAGAGGGGGACCUUCGGGCCUCUUGCCAUCGGAUGUGCCCAGAUGGGAUUAGCUAGCAGGUGGGGUAACGGCUCACCUAGGCGACGAUCCCUAGCUGGUCUGAGAGGAUGACCAGCCACACUGGAACUGAGACACGGUCCAGACUCCUACGGGAGGCAGCAUG
rnacentral:rRNA from 1 species